rnacentral:rRNA from 1 species
UACGGGGGGGGCGAGCGUUAUUCGGAAUUAUUGGGCGUAAAGGGCGCGUAGGCGGCUUGGUAAGUCAAAGGUGAAAUCCCUCGGCUCAACUGAGGAAUUGCCUUUGAAACUGCCUGGCUUGAGGCCGGGAGGGGGUAGCGGAAUUCCCAGUGUAGCGGUGAAAUGCGUAGAUACUGGGAGGAACACCGGUGGCGAAGGCGGCUACCUGGACCGGUUCUGACGCUGAGGCGCGAAAGCGUGGGGAGCAAACAGG